UCAACUACAGGCCUAAUCGACAGACCGCUGAAGUUAACGAAAAGACUCCUGGUGACUUCAAUGGGUUUUUGAUCAGGUCUCAAAUACAGGCUAAGUAAAGAUGGAGCCACUCAGCCAGUGUGCAGGAGGAGACAGUCAAGAGCACAUCUGAUGAAGCUAAAGAAACAAUAGACAGAGGCACUAUUGUGACUGUUCUCACAGCCUUUGAUUCAAACAAGUUAGAAACACCACUUUCUCACUUUCCCUUGGCAGGCACCCAGCACAGCGGGAGUCCCAGUCAUGAACUCAAGCUGCGUGGACAAGCUUUCUUGCAUGGAGCACCUUCAGGGGCAUGAGAAGGCUGUUAACCCAGUCUUUGUAUCACGAUGUUUCAAAAUGGCCCAUUUGGUCUUCAUAGUUCUUCUUGAUGGGUGAGAGAACCACUCCUCCUGCUUGGGUUCACAAGUUCAGAGCAGCGAUUUUUACACUUACAAAGCAAAACUUACAUAUUUCCUUAAAGCAUGGGAUACAGACAUUACAAAUGAGAUUAAUUCAUGCAGCAAUUUACAAGCAUUUUAUAGUCUAAGCACUAAACACAUUCUUACAAUUCUAACACCAAUCUUGAACAA